GAUGAACGCUGGCGGCGUGCCUAAUACAUGCAAGUCGAGCGAACAGACGAGGAGCUUGCUCCUCUGACGUUAGCGGCGGACGGGUGAGUAACACGUGGAUAACCUACCUAUAAGACUGGGAUAACUUCGGGAAACCGGAGCUAAUACCGGAUAAUAUAUUGAACCGCAUGGUUCAAUAGUGAAAGACGGUUUUGCUGUCACUUAUAGAUGGAUCCGCGCCGCAUUAGCUAGUUGGUAAGGUAACGACUUACCAAGGCAACGAUGCGUAGCCGACCUGAGAGGGGUGUCGGCCACACUGGAACUGAGACACGGUCCAGACUCCUACGGGAGGCAGCAGUAGGGAAUCUUCCGCAAUGGGCGAAAGCCUGACGGAGCAACGCCGCGUGAGUGAUGAAGGUCUUCGGAUCGUAAAACUCUGUUAUUAGGGAAGAACAAAUGUGUAAGUAACUAUGCACGUCUUGACGGUACCUAAUCAGAAAGCCACGGCUAACUACGUG
rnacentral:rRNA from 1 species